rnacentral:rRNA from 1 species
UACGUAGGUGGCGAGCGUUGUCCGGAAUUACUGGGUGUAAAGGGCGCGUAGGCGGGGAUGUAAGUCAGAUGUGAAAUACCGGGGCUUAACUUCGGGGCUGCAUCUGAAACUAUGUUUCUUGAGUGCUGGAGAGGAAAGCGGAAUUCCUAGUGUAGCGGUGAAAUGCGUAGAUAUUAGGAGGAACACCAGUGGCGAAGGCGGCUUUCUGGACAGUAACUGACGCUGAGGCGCGAAAGCGUGGGGAGCGAACAGGAUUAGAUACCCCCGUAGUCC